rnacentral:rRNA from 1 species
UCCGCAUUUGGCGGGUAGCUAAACAUGCAGUCGAACGGCAGCAACAGGAGAGCUUGCUCUCUGGGUGGCGAGUGGCGGACGGGUGAGGAAUACAUCGGAAUCUACUUUUUCGUGGGGGAUAACGUAGGGAAACUUACGCUAAUACCGCAUACGACCUACGGGUGAAAGCAGGGGAUCUUCGGACCUUGCGCGAUUGAAUGAGCCGAUGUCGGAUUAGCUAGUUGGCGGGGUAAAGGCCCACCAAGGCGACGAUCCGUAGCUGGUCUGAGAGGAUGAUCAGCCACACUGGAACUGAGACACGGUCCAGACUCCUACGGGAGGCAGCAGUGGGGAAUAUUGGACAAUGGGCGCAAGCCUGAUCCAGCCAUACCGCGUGGGUGAAGAAGGCCUUCGGGUUGUAAAGCCCUUUUGUUGGGAAAGAAAUCCAGCUGGCUAAUACCCGGUUGGGAUGACGGUACCCAAAGAAUAAGCACCGGCUAACUCUGUGCCAGCAGCCGCU